rnacentral:rRNA from 1 species
UACGGAGGUGGCAAGCGUUGUUCGGAAUUACUGGGCGUAAAGGGCGCGUAGGCGGCCAGCGCAAGUCAGUUGUGAAAUCUCCGGGCUUAACUCGGAAAGGUCAACUGAUACUGCGCGGCUAGAGUGCAGAAGGGGGCAACUGGAAUCUCGGUGUAGCGGUGAAAUGCGUAGAUAUCAGGAGGAACACCAGUAGCGAAGGCGGCUCGCUGGGCCAUUCCUGACGCUGGAGACGCGAAAGCUAGGGGGAGCGAAACAGG